UACGGAGGGGGCUAGCGUUGCUCGGAAUUACUGGGCGUAAAGGGCGCGUAGGCGGCCUCUUAAGUCGAACGUGAAAUCCCCGGGCUCAACCCGGGAACUGCGUCCGAUACUGGGAGGCUUGAAUCCGGGAGAGGGAUGUGGAAUUCCAGGUGUAGCGGUGAAAUGCGUAGAUAUCUGGAGGAACACCGGUGGCGAAGGCGGCAUCCUGGACCGGUAUUGACGCUGAGGCGCGAAAGCUAGGGGAGCAAACGGGG
rnacentral:rRNA from 1 species